UGCCAUCAUCUAUUAAGUGUUUCCCCAUUUCGACAUACUCUACUUAUCAUUGUUUAUUUGAUGUUCCUCUAAUGUCCUUGCUAAUUAGACUUUGCCCUUCUUAGUUCCCCAUCCUCCUCAAUUGGUCAUUGUCUCACAUUUCUUCAACACACUACUUAGUCUUACGACUAGAGUUUCCCACAUUCUAAAUUGAUGAUAUCCAUGUUGUCUAGCAUCAUACACCUCCAUAUGGCAUCAUCCAUCCUUCAUUCUGUGGUAUCUAUCUUUAGUGUGGUAUUAUCUUUCAUAUGGUACCAUCCCACAAGUAUCAAAGUCAUCUAGGGUCACAUGAUGCCAUUCUAUGCCUUCCUCCAUAGUUCAACAUCAUCUCAUAUUAGAAGGUAUAAUAAUAAUAUUACAAAAGAUUAAGCAUAUUUUGGAGAAGUGUAUGUAAGAAUACCCUAUUUAAGGGAAGUCAAAAGGGAAUGAAUGAGUGUAGUGAUUUCCACUAUUACUCCCCUAUAUCCUCCAUGACAAAAGAAGUUUCUCCUCUACGUCUAUGUUCCCAACAGAUCAAUAUUUCUUAACACAUAGGUAUAAUUGAUUCAUAAUA
rnacentral:lncRNA from 1 species